rnacentral:rRNA from 1 species
UACGUAGGGGGCAAGCGUUGUCCGGAUUUAUUGGGCGUAAAGAGCGUGUAGGCGGCCGUACAGGUCAGCUGUGAAAACUCGAGGCUCAACCUCGAGACGUCGGUUGAAACCGUACGGCUAGAGUCCGGAAGAGGAGAGUAGAAUUCCCGGUGUAGCGGUGAAAUGCGCAGAUAUCGGGAAGAACACCCGUGGCGAAGGCGGCUCUCUGGGACGGUACUGACGCUGAGACGCGAAAGCGUGGGGAGCGAACAGG